GUGCUUGCUUCGACUGCACAUAUACUAAAAUUGGAACAAUACAGAGAUUAGCAUGACCCCUGAACAAGGAUGACAUGCAAAUUCAUGAAGCAUUCCAUAUUUUU